rnacentral:misc_RNA from 1 species
GAUGAAGAACGUAGUGAAAUGCGAUAAGUAAUGUGAAUUGCAGAAUUCAGUGAAUCAUCGAAUCUUUGAACGCACCUUGCGCCCUUUGGCCAUUCCGAAGGGCAUGCCUGUUUGAGUAUCAUGAACACCUCAACUCUUCAUGGUUUUCCGUGAUGAGCUUGGACUUUGGGGGUCUUGCUGGCCUAUGGUCAGCUCCUCUAAAAUAAAUCAGCUUGCCAGUGUUUGGUGGGUAUCACAGGUGUGAUAACUAUCUACGCUUGUGGUUUUCCACCAGGUAACCUUCAGCAGUGGAGGUUCGCUGGAGCUCACAGAUGUGUCUCUCCUCAGUGAGGACAGCUCUUUGAAUGUUUGAUCUCAAAUCAGGUAGGACUACCCGCUGAACUUAAGCAUAUCAUAAGCGGAGGA